UACGUAGGGUGCAAGCGUUGUCCGGAAUUAUUGGGCGUAAAGAGCUCGUAGGCGGUCUGUCACGUCGGCUGUGAAAACCCGAGGCUCAACCUCGGGCCUGCAGUCGAUACGGGCAGACUAGAGUUCGGUAGGGGAGACUGGAAUUCCUGGUGUAGCGGUGAAAUGCGCAGAUAUCAGGAGGAACACCGGUGGCGAAGGCGGGUCUCUGGGCCGAAACUGACGCUGAGGAGCGAAAGCCAGGGGAGCAAACGGG
rnacentral:rRNA from 1 species